UUACGGGAGGCAGCAGUGGGGAAUAUUGCACAAUGGGCGGAAGCCUGAUGCAGCAACGCCGCGUGAGGGAUGACGGCCUUCGGGUUGUAAACCUCUUUCAGCGGGGACGAAGCGCAAGUGACGGUACCCGCAGAAGAAGCGCCGGCCAACUACGUGCCAGCAGCCGCGGUAACACGUAGGGCGCGAGCGUUGUCCGGAAUUAUUGGGCGUAAAGGGCUCGUAGGCGGUCUGUUGCGUCGAAAGUGAAAAUCCGGGGCUUAACUCCGGACUUGCUUUCGAUACGGGCAGACUAGAGGUAGGCAGGGGAGAGUGGAAUUCCUGGUGUAGCGGUGGAAUGCGCAGAUAUCAGGAGGAACACCGGUGGCGAAGGCGGCUCUCUGGGCCUUACCUGACGCUGAGGAGCGAAAGCGUGGGGAGCGAACAGGAUUAGAUACCCCGGUAGC
rnacentral:rRNA from 1 species